rnacentral:tRNA from 1 species
UCCCUGGUGGCUCAGAGGGUAAAGCAUCUGCCUGCAAUGCAGGAGACCUGGGCUCGAUUCCUGAGUCAGGAA